UACGGAGGGUGCGAGCGUUGUCCGGAAUCAUUGGGCGUAAAGGGCGCGUAGGUGGCGGGACAAGCGUGCGGUGAAAGCUCGGGGCUCAACCCCGAGUCGGCCGUGCGAACUGUUUUGCUUGAGCACUGUAGAGGCAGGCGGAAUUCCGGGUGUAGCGGUGGAAUGCGUAGAGAUCCGGAAGAACACCGGUGGCGAAGGCGGCCUGCUGGGCAGUAGCUGACGCUGAGGAGCGAAAGCGUGGGGAGCGAACAGG
rnacentral:rRNA from 1 species